GCCCCUUCAAAUCCCACGGAAUGAGCCUAUAUUCAUGACUGCCGGAUUCGUCCGGCUAUGACGAUAAAGUGCGGCGUGCAAUAGACGCAGCGGACCCGGGGGCGGUACCCGGCGGCUCCACCACAAUCGACCUCAUCGAGGCCGGUUCUGACGGGGCCGAACUAGGAUCGACGUGUGUUGAAAAGCGCUGUUUUCGUCCGGGCUGAGUAACCCGUUCAAGGCUCAAACACACACAAGUGCCAACGAUAACGAGGCUCUUGCUAUUGCUGCGUAACCCGAACCUCACGGUUUAGGUUAUACCAGACAAAAGCACGGUACGGACCGCACCGGGUAACAGAAGCGGAAACC
rnacentral:tmRNA from 1 species